rnacentral:lncRNA from 10 species
AGUGGCUUACAUCCUACACAACUUGUAUUCCUAUCAAUGGAUGCUAUUUGCUUCCUUUUCAUUUAUCAGCCCUUGCUUUCUAGACCUGAGCUGUCCAGUACAUUAGCCACUAGCCACAUGGGGCCGUUGAGCACUUGAAGUCUGGCUAGUCCAAAUUGAGAUGUGUUGUAUGUGUCAAACAAACAUUGGACUUCAAAGACUCAGUAAGGAAAAAAAUGUAAUCAUUAAUACUUUCAACAUUGAUUAUGUAUUAAAGUAUUUUAGAUCUAUUGGGUUAAGUCAAAUAGAUUAUUACAAUUAAUUUCAGCUUUUUCUCUCCUUCCUUCCUUCCCUCCCUCCCUCCUUUCUUUCUCUUUCCUUCUCUUCCCUUCUCUUCUCUUUUCUUUCUUUUCUUUCUUCAUCUCACUGUCUCCCAGGCUGAAGUACAGUGACACAAUCAUAGCUCACUACAGCCAGGAAUUCCUGGGCUCCAGUAAUCUUCCCACCUCAGGCUCCUGAACAGUUAGGACUACAGGCACACCCCACCGUCCCCUGGCUAAUUUUGUUUUAGAGGUGGGGGUCUCAUUAUGUUGCCCAGGGUGGCCUCAAACUCCUGGCCUCAAGCAGUCCUCCCACCUCACCCUCCUUAAUAGCUGGGACUAUAGGCGUGAGCCACCACGCCCCAGCUUUCUACUUUUAUUGCGUUAAUAUGCCUAGUAGGACAUUUUUAAUUACAUAUUUGGCUUGUGGAGGCUGGGAACAUUCUUGAUCUGGAUGAUAGAGUUUUGAAGAAUGGAUGGUUACAUAACAGAUGGCCAGCUGGUCUACCUAGAAGGGCCUUACAAAGGACAGUGCCUCCGUGGGGAAGGCUCACCCUGGAUCAGACGCCGGAUUGCAGAUUUACCAUGAAUGAAGCCCUUGGAGACUGAAUCAUGUUAAAAAUUCAAAAACAACUCAGUAAAUAUUUAUUUGAAGUCCUGCUGUUCUUCAAGGCCCUGGAAUGCAGAUAUGAGAAGAGUCACUGCUGCCCAAGAGCUGACUGACUGUGGAGGAAGACCAUGCUAGCAGGUGGCUACGUUUUCUACCACCUAGCACCUGCUCCCCCUUCUCCUGGUAAUGGUAUCUGCAAAUAAUCUCCUCAGUCUGUGUGCUUUCAGUGGAACUGAAUCUACCCCUGGUUCAAGAGCUCAGGUACAGCCUCUGGCCUGGCUGCAGUGAUUAGUUUAGAGAUGGACUUGUAACCUCAUCAAAGCCCGAUAUUGUUCAGGGUAACAUACUAGAUAUAUUUUGCUAGGAUUGCCAAUAAUCAUUUAUUUAAGCUCCUUAGAUGAGGUUUCCUGUCAUUUGCAACUGAAAAAGCUCUGUGUAGCAGGUUGAAUAGUGUUCACCCCCUGCCCAAAAAAUACACUCACAUCCACCCAGAACUUUGGAACUUUAGAAUAUGAUCUUAUUUAUUUAUUUAUUUAUUUGAGACAGAGACUCACUCUGUCGCCAGGCUAGAGUGCAGUGGCAUGAUCUCAGCUCACUGCAACCUCAGCCUCCCAAGAAGCUGGGACUACAGGUAUGUGCCACCACGCCCAGCUAAUUUUUGUAUUUUUAGUAGAGACGGGGUU